GGGAAAACUGACCCCAGUGGGGCAGCAUGUUCCCCUUUCCCCACCAGCCAGGCAGUGGUGCAGGAAGGAGCAGCCAGAGAGAACAAGUGUUUUAAAAAAGUGAUUCAGCUCUGCAAAGGUGAGCCUGGCACUGGCUUGGAGCCAGGAUACCUGGCCUGAACCUGCAACUUCUAGACAAGAUGAAGAGACCACGGAUUUAGGAUUGAUUUUUCCACAAGAAAAGCCCCGCUCUAGCAAACCCCCCUGUCCAUCAUCCCCGCCCUGCACUGACCUUCCGAGCAAUGGGCAUC